AUACAACAUUGCAGGUCUAAUCACAGCUCUAUAAAAUUUUCCCUUGAGUUUCUGUGGAACUUUCUUGUCACACAGGACUCCUGAUGCAAGCCUCCACUUUGAACAUCCCGCUCCUAUACGAUGAGUGACAUCCCCGUUAAUCUCUCCGUCCCCCUGAAUCACCGACCCAAGAUAUCUGACACUAUCCCUCUUGGCGAUGACCUGAGAUCCAAUCAU
rnacentral:lncRNA from 1 species